rnacentral:rRNA from 1 species
GACAGAGGAUGCAAACGUUGCUCGGAUUUACUGGGCGUAAAGCGCGCGCAGGCGGUCCCGUAAGUCGGACGUGAAAGCCCAGGGCUCAACCUUGGAAGUGCGUCUGAUACUGCGAGACUAGAGUCCGGCAGGGGAGACUGGAAUUCCUGGUGUAGCGGUGAAAUGCGCAGAUAUCAGGGAGGGAACACCGGUGGCGAAAGGCGGGUCUCUGG